AGAGUUUGAUCCUGGCUCAGGAUGAACGCUAGCUACAGGCUUAACACAUGCAAGUCGAGGGGAAACGAUAUUGGAAGCUUGCUUCCGAUAGGCGUCGACCGGCGCACGGGUGAGUAACGCGUAUCCAACCUGCCCACCACUUGGGGAUAACCUUGCGAAAGUAAGACUAAUACCCAAUGAUAUCUCUAGAAGACAUCUGAAAGAGAUUAAAGAUUUAUCGGUGAUGGAUGGGGAUGCGUCUGAUUAGCUUGUUGGCGGGGUAACGGCCCACCAAGGCAACGAUCAGUAGGGGUUCUGAGAGGAGGGUCCCCCACAUUGGAACUGAGACACGGUCCAAACUCCUACGGGAGGCAGCAGUGAGGAAUAUUGGUCAAUGGGCGAGAGCCUGAACCAGCCAAGUAGCGUGCAGGAAGACGGCCCUAUGGGUUGUAAACUGCUUUUAUAAGGGAAUAAAGUGAGUCUCGUGAGACUUUUUGCAUGUACCUUAUGAAUAAGGACCGGCUAAUUCCGUGCCAGCAGCCGCGGUAAUACGGAAGGUCCGGGCGUUAUCCGGAUUUAUUGGGUUUAAAGGGAGCGUAGGCCGGAGAUUAAGCGUGUUGUGAAAUGUAGACGCUCAACGUCUGCACUGCAGCGCGAACUGGUUUACUUGAGUACGCACAAAGUGGGCGGAAUUCGUGGUGUAGCGGUGAAAUGCUUAGAUAUCACGAAGAACCCCGAUUGCGAAGGCAGCUCACUGGAGCGCAACUGACGCUGAAGCUCGAAAGUGCGGGUAUCGAACAGGAUUAGAUACCCUGGUAGUCCGCACGGUAAACGAUGGAUGCCCGCUGUUUGUCUGAACAGGUCAGCGGCCAAGCGAAAGCAUUAAGCAUCCCACCUGGGGAGUACGCCGGCAACGGUGACACUCAAAGGAAUUGACGGGGGCCCGCACAAGCGGAGGAACAUGUGGUUUAAUUCGAUGAUACGCGAGGAACCUUACCCGGGCUUGAAUUGCAGAGGAAGGAUUUGGAGACAAUGACGCCCUUCGGGGUCUCUGUGAAGGUGCUGCAUGGUUGUCGUCAGCUCGUGCCGUGAGGUGUCGGCUUAAGUGCCAUAACGAGCGCAACCCCUCUCCUUAGUUGCCAUCAGGUUAAGCUGGGCACUCUGGGGACACUGCCACCGUAAGGUGUGAGGAAGGUGGGGAUGACGUCAAAUCAGCACGGCCCUUACGUCC
rnacentral:rRNA from 1 species